CUUCUUGGAAGGGCCGUAUUUAUUAGAUAACAGCCAAUAGGACUCCGUCCNNUGAGNUGACUCAUAGUAACUGAUCGGAUCGCAUGGGCCUUGCCCGCGACAAACCAUUCAAGUUUCUGCCCCAUCAGCUGUCGAUGGUAGUGUAUUGGACUACCAUGGCUUUUACGGGUAACGGAGGAUUAGGGUUCGAUUCCGGAGAGGGAGCCUGAAAAACGGCUACCACAUCUAAGGAAGGCAGCAGGCGCGUAAAUUACCCAAUCCUGACUCAGGGAGGUAGUGACAAGAAAUAACGGGCCGGGA
rnacentral:rRNA from 1 species